rnacentral:snoRNA from 1 species
UUGUAACACUAACUUAAAAAAUAAAAUGCUCCAUGGAGACCUGGUGUGCAAUGGUGGCAAACAGCAGCCUCCUUGGGCAGGUACACAGCCUGUUACCCUAAGGGACCUUCAAGACAAUU